CCCAGCUCGUCAUGCUAAAGAACUUUUUCAAUGGGCUCCCCAACGACAACGCAUUCGGAUGUCAUCCAUAUCAACGUUCAGUGCCACUUUCUGCACCUACCAUGGUGACCACAGGUAACGGGGAAUCAGGGUUGAUUCCGGAGAGGGAGCCUGAGAAAAGGCUACCACAUGCAAGGAAGGCAGCAGGUGCGCAAAUGACCCACUCCCGACGCGGGAUGGUAGUGACG
rnacentral:rRNA from 1 species